UACGUAUGUCCGGAGCGUUAUCCGGAUUUAUUGGGCUUAAAGCAAGCGCAGACGGUUGAUUAAGUCUGAUGUGAAAACCCGGAGCUCAACUCCGGAAUGGCAUUGGAGACUGGUUAACUUGAGUGCAUUAGAGGUAAGUGGAACGCCAUUUGUAGCGGUAGAAUGUGUAAAGAUAUGGAAGAGCACCAGUGGCGAAGGCGGCUUACUGGACUGUAACUGACGUUGAGGCUCGAGAGUGUGGGUAG
rnacentral:rRNA from 1 species